rnacentral:rRNA from 1 species
CCUACGGGAGGCAGCAGUGAGGAAUAUUGGUCAAUGGACGAGAGUCUGAACCAGCCAAGUAGCGUGAAGGAUGACUGCCCUAUGGGUUGUAAACUUCUUUUAUAUGGGAAUAAAAUGUUCCACGUGUGGGAUUUUGUAUGUACCAUAUGAAUAAGGAUCGGCUAACUCCGUGCCAGCAGCCGCGGUAAUACGGAGGAUCCGAGCGUUAUCCGGAUUUAUUGGGUUUAAAGGGAGCGUAGGUGGAUUGUUAAGUCAGUUGUGAAAGUUUGCGGCUCAACCGUAAAAUUGCAGUUGAAACUGGCAGUCUUGAGUACAGUAGAGGUGGGCGGAAUUCGUGGUGUAGCGGUGAAAUGCUUAGAUAUCACGACGAACUCCGAUUGCGAAGGCAGUUCACUGGACUGCAACUGACACUGAGGCUCGAAAGUGUGGGUAUCAAACAGGAUUAGAUACCCCAGUAGUC